UCCCCAAACUUUAUAACCAAAAUCCUACUUUAGCUUCUGGAAGUUGGUUGCGGUUCUAGUUCUUAUGCUCAACGAUACACAAAGCAUCUAGUAAUAUUUGGCUAUAAAUCCGCUAAUAAAGCCACUUCUUGAUUCUCAAAGCUUUGAUGGUGAAGUCAAAGAUCUUAUGAGUUUUUAGUCUUGAAUCGUAUAACAAGGAAGCACUACUUUACUUUUCGGGAUCUAGUUGAGGUU
rnacentral:sRNA from 1 species